UGGGGAAUAUUGGGCAAUGGGCGAAAGCCUGACCCAGCAACGCCGCGUGAAGGAAGAAGGCCUUCGGGUUGUAAACUUCUUUUACCAGGGACGAACAAAUGACGGUACCUGGAGAAAAAGCAACGGCUAACUACGUGCCAGCAGCCGCGGUAAUACGUAGGUUGCAAGCGUUGUCCGGAUUUACUGGGUGUAAAGGGCGUGUAGGCGGAGAUGCAAGUUGGGAGUGAAAUCCCGGGGCUCAACCCCGGAACUGCUUUCAAAACUGUAUCCCUUGAGUGUCGGAGAGGCAAGCGGAAUUCCUAGUGUAGCGGUGAAAUGCGUAGAUAUUAGGAGGAACACCAGUGGCGAAGGCGGCUUGCUGGACGAUAACUGACGCUGAGGCGCGAAAGCGUGGGGAGCAAACAGG
rnacentral:rRNA from 1 species